ACGGAUUUUAUGUGAAGAAAGGUCGAGAAGCUUCUAGAAGAUUGCUUAGUUAGCUCUUCCAACGUUCAAAUCCGCGAAUCUCGGGAUGAAGACUUUCGAGUUGAUAUCACUGAUUGCUGGUGGUGGUGGAUCCCGAAUUCAGUCCGUUUAUUCCGUUUUGCUGCUCCCUAAGAGGUAAUAUCCUACUCCAUUUUAGAUUUUGAUUGCCUCUGCUUCAUCUGGACCUUCUUUAGUUGUGAGCAAAUCUUGAGUAACAUUGAUUGCUGGUAGAUGGCUUUGAUAGCCGUAGGUAGCCGUUGAUAGAUGUCCGAUUUAAUACUCUCAUUUUUGUGAACUGCUUAAGGUUUGUAUAGCUGACUUUAUGUUAAGGUUUCAUGUUCUCCGAUUCUGUUUUGAGUUGCUGGGUAUCUUGUAAGGCUGAUUUCGUCGUUUAAAGUUUCAUGCUUUUGAUUUUGUUUUGAGUUACUGGUAUCCUGUUAAGGCUAGUUUCGUGGCUAAAGUUUGAUUUUGUUUGGUCGUUUCGGGCUGCUUAAAUGUUGUCAUGGUUGGCUUCAUGGAUUAAAGUCUCUUGCUUUGAGUCUGUUAAAUAGUUUCGGGCUAAUGGCAUGUGGUUGUAGCUAUUUCCGUAGUAAAGUUGCAUGCUUUGAUUUUGAUUCGGGCUACUAGUACCCCGUUAUAGCUGAUUUCAUACUAAAGUGUCAUAUUUUGAUUUUUAGUAGUUCGGGUUGCUAGUAUCUUGUUAUAGAUUGGUUCCGUCAUUAAAGUUUCAUACUUCGACUCUUGAUUAGUAGUUUUGGGUUGCUGGUAUCUCGUUAUACUUGAUUUUAUGGUUAAAGUUUCGUGCUUUGGAUUUCGCUUAACAGUAUUUUUUUUAAGUUGUGGCAUCUUGUCUCAUGAUUAAAUUACCUAAAAUUGGGUUUAUGUAGUGUUUGAAUCUCAUUUGUUUGUUAACCCAGUGGUAACGAAGGCAUUAAGAUUUCAGCCUUACUUUUCUUGAAGUUUCAGCUAUCGUAUUCCUCGCCUAAAGUGAUGAAGUCUUUACUUUUCUUGAAGUUUCAGCUAUCGUAUUCCUCGCCUAAAGUGAUUAAGUCUUUAAUUUUGUAUGUUUGGCAUUCUGGAAUUUGAAUGUUGCUUGUGAUCCAUGGUUCAUGUAGUAUGAUCCAGGAGUUGUAACUCUUUUUUGUGACAUGCUUAAUUGUGUCCUUUUGUGGCAUUAAAGUGAUAAAUUGUUUUUCUUUAUUUUGCUAAAAACCAUAAGAAUUUCUUUUUGAAGCUUUAUUUCCUCCUAUAGUUGAAAUUUCUUUAAUUGAUUAUGAACAUUUUCUUCAAACUUUAUAGACUUUUGCUCCUGUGGAAUUUUUACCUAUGUGUGAAUGUAUUUGAAUGAAGCAUGAAUGCUAUAGCUUAUUAAUUGUUAAAAUCUUGGACGUAUUCUAAUUUCUUCAUUUCUUUCCUUGCAUGCACCCCCCUUCAUAAAUGGGCCCGUGAGGUUCACCUCGUUGAACUAAGCCCAAAAGAAGGUCCAAAAUCCCAUCGUUUGGCGUAUGGAUACGAGAGUCGAACGAAGAAGGAAAAUGGAUUAAAGUCCUACGUUUGAAGCGGCUAAGAGACUCAAAAGUCUCAUUAGUUGUUUUAUUUACUCAAGUAUCAUUGUCUUUAUUUAUUUUGUUUAUUUAUUUGUUCAUUCGUUUAUUCGGGCUACAAAGCCAAGGUUGUAUUUAAUACAGGUGGAGCAAGAUUCGAGCCAAAGGAUCAAAAAUUAGAUUAGGCCAGGUGAAAUGGCACGAAAGCCCAACUAGACUAGGACAAGUCUCAUUGAUUUGGGACCAAUAGCCUAAAUCCCUUACUUUCUCCCCUUUCCUUUUUUCUUUACGCUUGUUUGCC